UAAUAUUUUGUAAAACUGAUUUAGUUUUUUGUCAUCUUUUAAGAUGGCAAAAAACUAAAUCAGUUUUACAAAAUAUUA